rnacentral:rRNA from 1 species
UACGUAGGCAGCGAGCGUUGUUCGGAGUUACUGGGCGUAAAGGGUGUGUAGGCGGUUCUUUAAGUUUGGUGUGAAAUCUCCCGGCUCAACCGGGAGGGUGCGCCCGAAUACUGAGGGGACUAGAGUACGGGAGAGGAAAGUGGAAUUCCUGGUGUAGCGGUGAAAUGCGUAGAUAUCAGGAGGAACACCGGUGGUGUAGACGGCUUUCUGGACCGUAACUGACGCUGAGACACGAAAGCGUGGGUAGCAAACAGG